rnacentral:rRNA from 1 species
AGCGAACGCUGGCGGCAGGCCUAACACAUGCAAGUCGAACGCGUGUAGCAAUACACGAGUGGCAGACGGGUGAGUAACACGUGGGAACGUGCCCUUCGGUUCGGAAUAACUCAGGGAAACUUGAGCUAAUACCGGAUACGCCCUCACGGGGAAAGAUUUAUCGCCGAAGGAUCGGCCCGCGUCUGAUUAGCUAGUUGGUGAGGUAACGGCUCACCAAGGCGACGAUCAGUAGCNGGGUCUGAGAGGAUGAUCAGCCACACUGGGACUGAGACACGGCCCAGACUCCUACGGGAGGCAGCAGUGGGGAAUAUUGGGCAAUGGGGGAAACCCUGAUCCAGCCAUGCCGCGUGAGUGAUGAAGCCCUAGGGUUGUAAAGCUCUUUCAGUAGGGAAGAAAAGCCGAGUGCUAAUAUCAUUCGGUCUUUGACGUUUACUUACAGAAGAAGCACCGGCUAACUCCGUG